rnacentral:piRNA from 1 species
UACAAUAGUGUAUACAAUUAGAGAUAA